rnacentral:rRNA from 1 species
UUAUUAUUGGUCCAGCCUGCCCAGUGAUUACUAAUUUAACGGCCGCAGUACCCUGACUGUGCAAAGGUAGCAUAAUAACUUGUCUUAUAAUUGAAGACUAGAAUGAACGGCUCCAUGAGAGUAAAACUGACUCCAUUACAACCCUAAAAAUUAAUUUAUUGGUACAAAAGCCAAUAUAUUAUUAAUAGACGAGAAGACCCUAUUGAGCUUAAUUUCAUAACCUUAAUUUAUAAUAACCUAAUAAAUUUUGUUGGGGCGACAAAGGACCAUUUUAAGCUUCCUUUUAUUAUAUAAUUUCAUAAAUAAAUCGAUCCAUUACUAAUGAUCAUAUAUUCAGUUACCCUAGGGAUAACAGCAUAAUUCUUUUUAAGAGCCCAUAUCGAAAAAAGAGUUUGUGACCUCGAUGUUGGACUAAGGUAACCUGAAAGCGCACCCGCCUUCAAAAAUAGUCUGUUCGACUAAUAA